rnacentral:rRNA from 1 species
UACGUAGGGGGCAAGCGUUGUCCGGAUUUAUUGGGCGUAAAGCGCUCGCAGGUGGUUCGUUGCGUCGUGCGUGAAAGACCCCGGCUCAACUGGGGGGUGUCGUGCGAUACGGGCGAACUGGAGGCCAGUAGGGGGAUGCGGAAUUCCGGGUGUAGUGGUGGAAUGCGUAGAGAUCCGGAGGAACACCAGCGGCGAAGGCGGCAUCCUGGACUGGUCCUGACACUCAGGAGCGAAAGCGUGGGGAGCGAGUCCGG